UCCUGCAUAGCUAAAUUGGUUAGAGUGUGGUGCUGAUAAGGCUAAGGUCGCAGGUUCAAUCCCCGUAUAGGAA